ACUAGACAUGCCAAUAGGAGUCUUCAACUUCGCAAUGUUCUUCGAGUUUCAUCUGUGACAUGUAAUCUUUUUUCAGUUCCUAAACUCACUCGUGAUAAUAAUGUGCUUUGUGAAUUUCACCCUUUUGAUAUUUUUAUUAAGGAUCGGGGCACGAGGGACAUUCUUCUUAGUGGGCGGCUCUGCCAAGGUCUCUAUCGUCUGGAGCAUCCUGGCGUCGCUCGCGUCUUCAGUGGAGUUCUGGUAUCUCCGUCACAGUGGCAUGCUCGUCUUGGUCAUCCGGCCACACCUAUUGUCCGGUAUGUUUUGCGUCGUCAUGAGCUUCCUAGUGUGUCUAGUAAUAAAGAUGUAGCAGUGUGUGAUGCUUGUCAGUAG
rnacentral:rRNA from 1 species